rnacentral:lncRNA from 1 species
AGAGGGCACCUUCCCUGUAAGGAAAUUCUAACAAACCUGCUAACUCAUUGGUAAUGUACUGAUAUUCAACAUUAAACAUUCUAAAUUGUACUGUACUAGAUGUGCUAGCAGUAUUAGGAUGAACAUUAUAAAUUAGGGAACAUAAGAAUUCCCGGGUAAGGUACUCAAAUGUAGGUUCCUUCUUAAUAAAAAUAUCAUGCAAUCCUAAAUUACCUAGCAUAUAGCAAA